rnacentral:rRNA from 1 species
UCUAAACGACUCUCGGCAACGGAUAUCUCGGCUCUCGCAUCGAUGAAGAACGUAGCGAAAUGCGAUACUUGGUGUGAAUUGCAGAAUCCCGUGAACCAUCGAGUUUUUGAACGCAAGUUGCGCCCGAAGCCUUUUGGCCGAGGGCACGCCUGCCUGGGCGUCAC